UUCUUUCAGGAGAUGGGACUCGAAGGACAAUUGGGCAAGCCAAACUGGGGAGGAGUGGGGAUGGCAAGUACCCUGGGCUCCAACUACUGAAGCCACCAGAGUGAUCCCAGCAGGAGAUCCCCAGGAAGGGCCACUGAUAGUCACUGUCCUCCCCCCGCCGCCUUUUGAAGGGUCAGAGAUCCCCCAGACUGUGCAAAACCUGGGAGCCACGAUUAGGAAUCUGAAACAAAGGAUUCACCCCCACAGUGGCUACUGGUAAAGGCAGACCCGCAAGCAGACUGCAGUUCUCCCACUUAACUCUACGGCCCUUGGAGGUUACUUCCCAUCUCAAAUCCUGUUUCCUCUUUUUGUCACCAGGACCAUCCCAUCUGCAGAAUGAGGAGGAUUAAGUGAAAUGCACUGGUGUGUGUAAGGGACCCAGCCCUGGGCCUGGCUCGCAGCAGGUGCUCACGGAGUCGGAUAGCCUUGUCUCCACUGAACCUAUCAGCCCUGGACGCUGGCUUCCUGCCCUCCCAGCCUCCUCCUCCUUGCCCCUGCCCAGUGUGAGGAAGCCACUGCUCCAGACCGGGUCAUUCGGCCCCACCGACAGCUCCUGGCCAGGCUUCCCGGAGGCAAGGAGUGUCCCCAUUCCAGGUGUCACCUGACUUGCAGCCUCUCUAUGGUGCCAGAGAAAACUGGGGCAGCUGAGCUCAGGGCCUGAAGGCCGAGGGACAGGAAAAGGCAGAGUAAAUGGAGGGCUGAAUGGGAGGGGCUGGGCGGAGGGUGGGGAGGGGUGUGGGGCCCAGGGUGGGUGGGGGUUAUCAGGCAGGUAGAGGGGGCUGUACAAGGCCAAACUGGGAAGACCUGUUCAGAUCACAAAAUAAUCUUUUGGGGAACUCCUCCAGUGCUCUGGAAAGGAUUAAGAGUUAUGAACCCCAAGACCUCUAACCAUCGGUUUACAUUUUCAAGGUGCACACAGACACCACCUCCCCAAAGCCACACUCUGGUUAAGAGCCCUUGUUUAGUUGCUAAUAAUAAACUCAACUUAAGCCAGCACUAUACGAGUUUGCCAAAUACUGAUUAUGACCCUGGAGCAACACAGGUGUUUUAAAGAGGACACACUGGAGCUCACACCAGGGAAGUGACAAUCUAUUAACCGCAUGUCCCUGGGUGAGGGGCAGAGCUGGGAUGGGGACUCAGAUUUUUCUGGCUGUGAAACGUACCCCCUUCCCUGUCACCCAGCCUCCAGCAGAGGCUCAGAGGAACUGUGCACAAAUGUCAUCAGCGCAUUAAUAACAAACCGGCCCAAGAAGACAGAUUCCUUGUACUUCUAGGGUUAAUCAGGCCCCAACUGUUGACACGUGCCUUCUCCUCCCCUCUCUGGGCACCCUGUGGUGAAAGCUAGCUCUUCAGAACACUACCUUUUCGGUCCACCAUCACACGCGCCCCCUAAGUCCAGAGCACUAUUUGCAAUUCACUCAGCCUCUGUGGACCAGA